GACGAACGCUGGCGGCGUGCCUAAUACAUGCAAGUCGAACGCUUCUUUCCUCCCGAGUGCUUGCACUCAAUUGGAAAGAGGAGUGGCGGACGGGUGAGUAACACGUGGGUAACCUACCCAUCAGAGGGGGAUAACACUUGGAAACAGGUGCUAAUACCGCAUAACAGUUUAUGCCGCAUGGCAUAAGAGUGAAAGGCGCUUUCGGGUGUCGCUGAUGGAUGGACCCGCGGUGCAUUAGCUAGUUGGUGAGGUAACGGCGCACCAAGGCCACGAUGCAUAGCCGACCUGAGAGGGUGAUCGGCCACACUGGGACUGAGACACGGCCCAGACUCCUACGGGAGGCAGCAGUAGGGAAUCUUCGGCAAUGGACGAAAGUCUGACCGAGCAACGCCGCGUGAGUGAAGAAGGUUUUCGGAUCGUAAAACUCUGUUGUUAGAGAAGAACAAGGACGUUAGUAACUGAACGUCCCCUGACGGUAUCUAACCAGAAAGCCACGGCUAACUACGUG
rnacentral:rRNA from 1 species